rnacentral:rRNA from 1 species
CCGUAACUAUAACGGUCCUAAGGUAGCGAAAUUCCUUGUCAGGUAAGUUCUGACCCGCACGAAAGGCGUAACGAUUUGGGCGCUGUCUCAGCUGUAGACUCGGUGAAGUCUUAGUACCUGUGAAGAUGCAGGUUACCCGCGACUAGACGGAAAGACCCCAUGGAGCUUUACUGCAGCUUGAUAUUGGACUUUGAUGCAAGAUGUACAGGAUAGGUAGGAGACUGAGAGACAUGCACGCCAGUGUGUGAGGAGUCGAUGUUGGGAUACUACUCUUCUUGUAUUGGAGUUCUAACCGGAUGCCAUGGAACUGGCAACGGGACAGUGUCAGGCGGGCAGUUUGACUGGGGCGGUCGCCUCCCAAAGAGUAACGGAGGCGCCCAAAGAUACCCUCAGCUUGGAUGGAAAUCAAGCGCAGAGUGCAAAGGCAUAAGGGUGUUUGACUGCGAGACCAACAAGUCGAGCAGGGACGAAAGUCGGGCUUAGUGAUCCGGCGGUGCUGAAUGGAAAGGCCGUCGCUCAACGGAUAAAAGCUACCCUGGGGAUAACAGGCUGAUCUCCCCCAAGAGUUCACAUCGACGGGGAGGUUUGGCACCUCGAUGUCGGCUCAUCGCAUCCUGGGGCUGAAGUAGGUCCCAAGGGUUGGGCUGUUCGCCCAUUAAAGCGGUACGCGAGCUGGGUUCAGAACGUCGUGAGACAGUUCGGUCCCUAUCUGUCGUGGGCGCAGGAAGUUUGAGAAGAUCUGUCCUCAGUACGAGAGGACCGGGAUGGACAUAUCAAUGGUGCACCAGUUGUCACGCCAGUGGCACAGCUGGGUAGCUAAAUAUGGAAGGGAUAAACGCUGAAGGCAUCUAAGUGUGAAACCCGCUUCAAGAUGAGACUUCCCAUUACGAAAGUAGGUAAGACCCCUUAAAGACGAUAAGGUUGAUAGGUCAGGAGUGUAAGCAUGGCGACAUGUUAAGCGGACUGAUACUAAUAGGUCGAGGACUUAACCUA